rnacentral:rRNA from 1 species
GAUGAACGCUGGCUACAGGCUUAACACAUGCAAGUCGAGGGGAAACGACGGGGAAGCUUGCUUCCCCGGGCAUCGACCGGCGCACGGGUGAGUAACGCGUAUCCAACCUGCCUCUGACUGAGGGAUAACCCGUCGAAAGUCGGCCUAAUACCUCAUGGCAUCGUCUGCGGGCAUCCAACGACGAUUAAAGAUUUCAUCGGUCAGGGAUGGGGAUGCGUCUGAUUAGCUUGUUGGCGGGGUAACGGCCCACCAAGGCUACGAUCAGUAGGGGUUCUGAGAGGAAGGUCCCCCACAUUGGAACUGAGACACGGUCCAAACUCCUACGGGAGGCAGCAGUGAGGAAUAUUGGUCAAUGGGCGGGAGCCUGAACCAGCCAAGUAGCGUGCAGGAUGACGGCCCUAUGGGUUGUAAACUGCUUUUAUGCGGGGAUAAAGUGAGGGACGUGUCCUUCAUUGCAGGUACCGCAUGAAUAAGGACCGGCUAAUUCCGUG